GGAUGUGAGAGCGAUCUGGCUGUGACAUCUGUCACCCCAUUGAUCACCAAGGUUGAUUCAACUGAUCUGGCUGGCUAGGCGAGUGUCCCCCUCCUCCUUCACUGUUCCAUGUGCAUCCCUCCCAAAGCUGUACACUUGGUUGAGGACACCCUUCCCCCAAUAGAGAACUGUUCUUUGGUCAAGGGUAUACGAGUAGCUGUGUUCCCUGCUAGAACCUCCAAACAAGCUCACAAAAUGUGAUUAUAUAUAAUCUCACACACUCACACACACACACACACACACACACCUCAUGGAGUACUUCU
rnacentral:snRNA from 1 species